rnacentral:lncRNA from 1 species
CGGCUGUGGUUGUCCCGUAUAGCAAUGAGCCAAUGAGGCGUGUGGCAUAUCUCAGUACUUACAAAUCAUGUAAGGACCCUAUCCCACUCUCUUAGGUUCUAUUUGUUAGGUUUUUGUGUAGUUUUGAUAGAUUUUUGUUAGGGUGAUUGGUUAGGAUUGUGAUUUGGUUGUAUAAUAGGUUUAGAAUUGUGAUUUGGUUGAAUAAUUUGUUUUGUUGAAUUGAUUUAGAAUUUUUUUAUAAUUUUUUUAUUUUUUUGUAUUUAUAAAAUCGAUUUUUUUAUAUAAAAUCGAUUUUUGUAUUUUACAAAACGAUUUUUCUAUAUAAAUUCGAUUUUUUGGAUUUUACAAAAUCUUUUUUGUAUAUAAAUUCAAUUUUUUGGAUUUUAC